rnacentral:rRNA from 1 species
AGCAGCCGCGGUAAUUCCAGCUCCAAUAGCGUAUAUUAAAGUUGUUGCAGUUAAAAAGCUCGUAGUUGAAUUUCGGGAUUGGCGCAUCGGUCGUGCCUCACGGGGUAUGAACUGGUGCAGUCAAUUUCUCACCUUCUGGAGAACCGCGAUGUCCUUAAUUGGAUGCCGCGGGGAACCAGGACCUUUACUUUGAAAAAUUAGAGUGUUUAAAGCAGGCAUUUUUGCUUGAAUACAUUAGCAUGGAAUAAUAAAAUAGGACGGCAUGGUUCUAUUUUGUGGUUUCUAGGACCACCGUAAUGAUUAAUAGGGAUAGUUGGGGGCAUUAGUAUUCAAUUGUCAGAGGUGAAAUUCUUGGAUUUAUUGAAGACUAACUACUGCGAAAGCAUUUGCCAAGGAUGUUUUCAUUAAUCAAGAACGAAAGUUAGGGGAUCGAAGACGAUCAGAUACCGUCGUAGUCUUAACCAUAAACUAUGCCGACUAGGAAUCAGACGAUGUUAAUUUUUAAUGACUCGUUUGGCUA